rnacentral:rRNA from 1 species
AUGAAAUUAAAAUUAUUAAAUAUAAUUUUAUCAAUAAUAAAUAAACUUAAUAAUAAUAAUAAUAUUAUUAUUAAUAAUCUAUUAGAUUCAUUAAUAAAUAAGAAAUUAUUAUUAAAGAAUAUAUUAUUAGAUAUAAAUAAUAAAAAAAUAAAUAAUAUAAAAAGAAUAUUAAAUAAUAAUAAUAUAAAUAUUAAUAAUAAAUUACAACAUUUAAAUAAUAUAAAUAAUUGAAAUCUACAAAUUUAUAAUUAUAAUAAAAAUAUAGAAAUUAUAAAUACUAUAAAUGAUAAAUUAAUUAAUAAAUUAUUAUAUAAAAUAAUAACUUUAAAAUUAAAUAAUAUAAAUAUUAAUAAAAUUAUUAUAAGUAAACUUAUUAAUCAACAUAGUUUAAAUAAAUUAAAUAUUAAAUUUUAUUAUUAUAAUAAUGAUAUUAAUAAUAAUAAUAAUAAUAAUAAUAAUAAUAAUAAUUAUUAUAUAAAUAUAAUAAAUAAAUUAAUAAAUAUUAUAAAUAAUAAUAUAAAUAAUAAUUUAUGUAAUAUUUUAAGUUAUUAUUAUAAUAAAAAAGUAACUAUUGAACCUAUUAAAUUAUCAUAUAUUUAUUUAAAUAGUGAUAUUUUUAGUAAAUAUAUUAGUUUAAAUGAUAUAGAUAAAUAUAAUAAUGGUAUCUUAACUAAUUAUCAACGUAUAUUAAAUAAUAUUAUGCCUAAAUUAAAUGAUCAUAAUAUUUCUAUAAAUUAUAUUAAUAAUAUUAAUAAUAUUAAUAAUAAUAAAUAUAAUAAUAUAAUUAAUUUAUUAAAUAAUAAUAAUAAUAAUAAUAAUAAUAUUAAUAAUAAUAAUAAUUAUAAUAAUAAUAAUAAUAAUUAUAUUGGUAAUAUUAAUAAUAUUUAUAAUAAUAUAACUAUUGAUAAUAUUCCUAUAGAUAUUUUAAUAUAUAAAUAUUUAGUUGGUUGAUCUAUUAAAUUUAAAGGUAGAUUAAGUAAUAAUAAUGGUAGAACUAGUACACUUAAUUUAUUAAAUGGUACUUUUAAUAAUAAAAAAUAUUUAUGAAGUAAUAUUAAUAAUAAUUAUAAAUUAAAUUAUAUCCCUUCUAAUCAUAAUUUAUAUAAUAAUUCUAAUAUUAAUAAAAAUGGUAAAUAUAAUAUUAAAGUUAAAUUAAACUUUAUUUAA